rnacentral:rRNA from 1 species
GGGUUGUGAGGUUAAGCGACUAAGCGUACACGGUGGAUGCCCUGGCAGUCAGAGGCGAUGAAGGACGUGCUAAUCUGCGAUAAGCGUCGGUGAGGUGAUAUGAACCGUUAUAACCGGCGAUUUCCGAAUGGGGAAACCCAGUGUGUUUCGACACACUAUCAUUAACUGAAUCCAUAGGUUAAUGAGGCGAACCGGGGGAACUGAAACAUCUAAGUACCCCGAGGAAAAGAAAUCAACCGAGAUUCCCCCAGUAGCGGCGAGCGAACGGGGAGGAGCCCAGAGCCUGAAUCAGUGUGUGUGUUAGUGGAAGCGUCUGGAAAGGCGCGCGAUACAGGGUGACAGCCCCGUACACAAAAAUGCACAUAUUGUGAGCUCGAUGAGUAGGGCGGGACACGUGGUAUCCUGUCUGAAUAUGGGGGGACCAUCCUCCAAGGCUAAAUACUCCUGACUGACCGAUAGUGAACCAGUACCGUGAGGGAAAGGCGAAAAGAACCCCGGCGAGGGGAGUGAAAAAGAACCUGAAACCGUGUACGUACAAGCAGUGGGAGCCUCUUAAUGGGGUGACUGCGUACCUUUUGUAUAAUGGGUCAGCGACUUAUAUUCUGUAGCAAGGUUAACCGAAUAGGGGAGCCGAAGGGAAACCGAGUCUUAACUGGGCGUUAAGUUGCAGGGUAUAGACCCGAAACCCGGUGAUCUAGCCAUGGGCAGGUUGAAGGUUGGGUAACACUAACUGGAGGACCGAACCGACUAAUGUUGAAAAAUUAGCGGAUGACUUGUGGCUGGGGGUGAAAGGCCAAUCAAACCGGGAGAUAGCUGGUUCUCCCCGAAAGCUAUUUAGGUAGCGCCUCGUGAAUUCAUCUCCGGGGGUAGAGCACUGUUUCGGCAAGGGGGUCAUCCCGACUUACCAACCCGAUGCAAACUGCGAAUACCGGAGAAUGUUAUCACGGGAGACACACGGCGGGUGCUAACGUCCGUCGUGAAGAGGGAAACAACCCAGACCGCCAGCUAAGGUCCCAAAGUCAUGGUUAAGUGGGAAACGAUGUGGGAAGGCCCAGACAGCCAGGAUGUUGGCUUAGAAGCAGCCAUCAUUUAAAGAAAGCGUAAUAGCUCACUGGUCGAGUCGGCCUGCGCGGAAGAUGUAACGGGGCUAAACCAUGCACCGAAGCUGCGGCAGCGACACUAUGUGUUGUUGGGUAGGGGAGCGUUCUGUAAGCCUGUGAAGGUGGCCUGUGAGGGUUGCUGGAGGUAUCAGAAGUGCGAAUGCUGACAUAAGUAACGAUAAAGCGGGUGAAAAGCCCGCUCGCCGGAAGACCAAGGGUUCCUGUCCAACGUUAAUCGGGGCAGGGUGAGUCGACCCCUAAGGCGAGGCCGAAAGGCGUAGUCGAUGGGAAACAGGUUAAUAUUCCUGUACUUGGUGUUACUGCGAAGGGGGGACGGAGAAGGCUAUGUUGGCCGGGCGACGGUUGUCCCGGUUUAAGCGUGUAGGCUGGUUUUCCAGGCAAAUCCGGAAAACCAAGGCUGAGGCGUGAUGACGAGGCACUACGGUGCUGAAGCGACAAAUGCCCUGCUUCCAGGAAAAGCCUCUAAGCAUCAGGUAACAUCAAAUCGUACCCCAAACCGACACAGGUGGUCAGGUAGAGAAUACCAAGGCGCUUGAGAGAACUCGGGUGAAGGAACUAGGCAAAAUGGUGCCGUAACUUCGGGAGAAGGCACGCUGAUAUGUAGGUGAAGCGACUUGCUCGUGGAGCUGAAAUCAGUCGAAGAUACCAGCUGGCUGCAACUGUUUAUUAAAAACACAGCACUGUGCAAACACGAAAGUGGACGUAUACGGUGUGACGCCUGCCCGGUGCCGGAAGGUUAAUUGAUGGGGUUAGCGGCAACGCGAAGCUCUUGAUCGAAGCCCCGGUAAACGGCGGCCGUAACUAUAACGGUCCUAAGGUAGCGAAAUUCCUUGUCGGGUAAGUUCCGACCUGCACGAAUGGCGUAAUGAUGGCCAGGCUGUCUCCACCCGAGACUCAGUGAAAUUGAACUCGCUGUGAAGAUGCAGUGUACCCGCGGCAAGACGGAAAGACCCCGUGAACCUUUACUAUAGCUUGACACUGAACAUUGAGCCUUGAUGUGUAGGAUAGGUGGGAGGCUUUGAAGUGUGGACGCCAGUCUGCAUGGAGCCGACCUUGAAAUACCACCCUUUAAUGU